CCUCGCGAUUGCUGUAGCCUGGGCUGACUCUUCUCGCCCGGUUACUGCCACCUGGUUCUAAAUCAGCACGUCCCCAAAGUGCCUGAGUAUAAGAAGUGUCUGCCAGGCUGAUUGAAAGUGUAGAAUAACAGACAGGUGAAGAAACUGAGGCACAGAGUUAGUUUAUUGCCCUAAUCACAAAGCUACAGGUGGAAGAGGAGGGUUUGAACUCAGAUUUCCUGAAUCCAAAUCUUGGUGAUGUUUAACCUAAGGUGUACUACAUCCUGAGAGCUAGCUGUCCUCAUACUCUAGGUGCCCACUUCUUCUCCCUGGAGGCAGCCAGUACUGUUAGUUGCCUGUAUAUUCCUCCAGAGAUGUUUUGUGCACAUGAUCUAGGCUGGGCAGAGAGAGCUUUGGGCUGCUUCCUUUUGCAAGCCAAGCACAGCCAUCCGCUCAGUUCAACAUGCGGAAAAUGCACCACCCUCAGGAAACGUGAAUGCAUCUGUGGCUCCGCAGUGAAUCCCACAUCUUUGCUCCUCAUGGAGAUGCAGGGACCCAAACCAUUCCACGAGGCCAUCCUCUGGGUGGAUUUCACUCCUGCCCCAUCAGCAGAAAGAGAAAUCUCAUUGACCUAAGAUGGUUGGAGAAGGCCUUUCUGGAGAAUGAACAUUUUUGAUCAGAGUGGAGCAGAGAACAAGAUCCAGUUGGCUUGGCCAAACAUGAUUCUUUUCCAUUAUCGGUUAUUACAAGAUACUGAGAAAUCCGAUUUCUUGACCUCACAAUAUUCCCUUUUCUUCAAACAUCACCCCAGGCUCUCCACUCAGCUCUGGUGUCUGCCGAAUCUCUAAAGGGAUUUCAAGACAGACAGUUAGCACUGGGGAGCCCAGCUUGGGUUGGAUUCUGCCAGUUUUCCAGAGCCAGUUCUCAGCUAUUUCUGGCUUGAACAGACCCAGGAUCUUCCUGCUUCCACGGGAGCUGCCAUUCCAGGAGGGCCUCCUGGGCACUUCCAUGGGCAAUGUCACCCUCACAACACUGAGAAACGGGUCUCAUCGUUGCCAUUUUACAAACAUGGGAACAGAAGUGAAGUGACUUGCCCAGGUUCCUGUAGGCAGUAAGUGAGCUGCACCAGGGAGCCGUGGAAGCCUCCUCAGCUGGGGAGUGAUGUUUCUGCGUCAUCAAACAUUUAUGACAAGACGGAGCAACACAGAGUGACUUGGAAUGAAUUCAACAGACCAAUAUUUUGAAAUCAGGGUGGCUUGACUUCCUUUAGAGAGAACAGUUCUCCCAUCUCUUCGAGGCAUCAUCCAGAGGAGGAAGAACAGCAAGGUUCCCAGUCCCAGAGAGCACAACUCUGGUCACACGUUCCAUUGUGACAGUGAUCCCAGAUCAGUGAUCUUUGAUGUUACUGUUGCAAAAUGAUUACAACUGGGAGUUCCUGCUGUGGCACAGUGGUUAAGGAUCUGGCAUUUCCUCAGCUUCGGCUCGGAUUCGAUCCCUGGCCCGGGAACUUCCAUAUGCCAUGGGUGCAGCAGGGGAAAAAGAGAGUUACAACUUGCUGAAGGCUCAGAUGAUGACUCACCGACCAUGAAGUAGCUUAACAGUCUUCUUCGAAUAAGUGAGAAGGAAGCUCCAUGUACCGAAGAGAGAGCCCUCCAGACCUGUGGUCAGACCUCGUUUCUCCUAUGACCUUAGGUCUGCCUGCUCUCUGGAAAGCUCAUGUUGGCAAUGGCCAAGAAUUCCUCCAAAGAUUGAAAUUGCAGCUAGACCAGGAAAGUGAUCUGGCCGUAGGCGGAGUCCCCGCAGUAAAAGUGUUUCUGUACCUGGGAGUUCACAGCUGCCGUAAAACCUAAAUGUCAGCAGCUCCCGUGGUGUUGGAUCACGUGCUACCCCGCUUACAGCCAGCAGCCCUGACAUCGGGGCCAAGCAUCUCAGCAUGCAGAAGUUUCUGGGCCAGGGAUCAACCUGGUGCCACAGCAGGAACCAGAGUACAGCAGUGACAACUCCAGAGCCACCAGGAAACACCCACAUUAACCUUUAAUUGGAGAAGUAAUUCACAGAAUACAUGCUCCCUGUAAAAGAUUUUAAAAGGUAAGCCCUAUAUCUCUUUUCACCACCUCUUCCAGUCUCCGAACCCCUCAGAGGCAGCCAGUUUUCAGUUCAGCAAAAGCUCUCAAUCAGUGCAUUUAAUUAGUUAUCCGUGUGCCUCUAUAAAAUGUGUAUCUGUGACCUAAGGAAAACUUGCAUAUUUCUGUACCUAUAGAAAAUGUGGAGGUUUUGUGUGGAUUUUUUUUUUUUACAUGAGUGAUAUCAUAUGGUACAUGUCUUAAUGUGAUUUUUUUCCCACAGCUGUCUGUCUCAUAGCCUUUAUUGUGUAUAUAUAAAUCUACCUUACUCUUCCAAAUGUUCCAUACAUUUCCAUGGGAUAGAUUUGGCCUAGUUUUGACUGCCAUUCUUCUAUGUACAAAUAUUUGGGUUGAUUUUUUGAUUUUUUAUUUCAUUUUUACAAAAAGUGCCAUGGUGCACAUUCUUUUACAGAAGCAAGUGUCUGAACAGAUUUUUUUUUUCCUCUAUAGAAGAAAUCAAGAAAUAGAAUUUCUGGGUCAUGGGACAUACACUGUUUUUAUUUUAAUGGAUAUUGCCAAAUUGCUGAGGUCAUUUUGAGUUUACUUUUAUCUUCUAGAUAAAAUCUCCUAGAAUCUUCUAGAAUGCCUUAGAUUGGAGCUUAAUUAUCAAAAUGUAAUUCUGAAGUAUUCUAUCAGGUAAGAUGGCAGGAAUGUGUAUUCAUUCCUUAGCCCAUCCGUCUCUGUCUUCUGAGGAUCCAGCAUGGCUCCUGAUAUGGUGUCGAGUCAAUAAAUGUUGCUUAGGUGCUCUCCUUUGCACCAGCCACACCCUCAAGGGGCCUCAGCCCGAAACCUGAUUCCUUUAUGCAGCUGCCAACCACCAGCUCAGCUUUCCAGACAGUGCUCAAAUAUCCCCUCUUUUUGGAAGCCCUCCCUGGAGUCCAGGCUGAGUAAGGCAGCUUCUCUUCUGUGUCCCCAUGGCACCCUUAUUUAUUGGCUUGUCAUGCUUAUUGCAAUUUGGAAUUUGGUCACCUCUCCCCUGUUACACCAGGCAGUCUCGGGAAUUCAGUGGUGCCUGGCCUUUAGGCAUCACCUGAUCAGUGUUUGUGGACUGCUGACAGAACAACAAGCAUGUAGGCCUGGCAGUCUGUCAGCUUGGAGAGAGAGAGGGCCAGGUGUAUGCAGUAUUCUUCAUAUCGAGCUUAAUAGGAAACGGCUGUAAGAAAUUAGAUGGCUAGGGUGGCUCAGUGGUAACAAACCCAGGUUCAAUCCCUGGCCCAGUUCAGUGGGUUAAGGAUCCCACAUUGCCGUGAGCUGUGGUAUGGAUCACAGAUGUGGCUUGGAUCCAGGGUUGCUGUGGCUGUGGCGUAGGCCAGCAGCAACAGCUCUGAUUCAACCCCUAGCCUGGGAACUUCCAUAUGCCACAACUGCAGCCCUAAAAAGCAAAAGAAAGAAGAAAAAAAAAUUAGGUGGCUAAUAAUUGACCCUUGACAGUGAUUAUGAUGCUGAUAAAAAUGAUGAAUGAUUGGUAAGAAGGGUAAAUAGUAAACUCUCUCACACAUAAAAAUUUAGAACCACAUCAUUUCACCUCUUGGGAAAAUGUUUAUAACACUCUUCACUUCAAUAUUUCGCCAUGAAACCUAGAAGUUUCUUAGGCAAUUUAUCUUUUCAAAUGCAUCUCAGGGAAUGACAAACAGUAGCCAGAAAGCUGCUCAAAGAGUUCGAGUAUGGCAGCUCAUGGUCAUAAAUCUCUGGGUAGGAUCCUGAUUCUGAAAAGAAACACGAGAAAAGACUGAAAUAAAUCUACCAAGGUGUUAAUCAUGGCAGCACCACUGGAGUUAGGGUGAUGUGUGAUAUUCUUUUCUUCUUUUUACUUUUCUCAAAUCUUUCAGAUUAUACCAUGUAUGUAAAUUCAUUUUACACACACAAAAAAACAAACCAAAACCGAAAACAGACAUAAUCAAAAACAUUUCUAGCAAUUAAUGAAGUUGCUAAGGAGGCAAUUUUAAAUCAUCUAUAAUGGGUGGACAUCUAUGACAUGAGAAUAUAAUUCCAAGAAGGCUAACCUGAGCUAUCAGUUCAUUUGAUAUGAAUUGGGUACUACAACCAAAGACUGUGCUUGGGGCGGGGCUUAAAGUGCAAACAUCAGGUAUACUUCCUACCCUCAGGCAGUUCACAGACUACUGCUAGCCACAAACUCAAGCCACUAAUGGGAGCCAGGCAGCAAAGAGAAAGGAAUGAAAUCCUCCAACAGGCCCUCCUCUAAUAUUUGCUAACAUUUGCUGGCCUUGGAAAAAGUUAAAUGGAAAUCCAUUUACCAGAUGGAUUUAAAACAAGUUAACAAAUCGAAGUGGCUUCUAGUUGUCUACCUUGACACAUGUCCCUUUAUAAUGGCUCUUCUUCUCUUCCCGUGCCUGACUCCAUCACCCAAAGUAGGGAACUUUGUGCAGGUGGAUGGACAGACAUCCUGGCCACACAUUUAAGCUUCAGUCCCUCCCCUUCCCCAUCCCCAGCUUUCUCUUGGCCACUUCUCAGGCACGGGGUAUGUUCCCUAGUAUACGAUUUGCCCUUGGGAGAACUAACUGAGAAAUAAGUCUCUGCAGGCUCUGGAAACAGGCUUGGGUCACAUGGGCAGGGAAUUCCAAGGCCCAGCAGCAUGAUCUAGAAGAGGCAGUGCUGCAUCCAGGCUGCAUGGGGUCAAGGGCAGAGGCCCACUUUGCCUGAAUCUUAGGGAAGCACUAUCCCCUGGGAGGGUUGGGACUCUGGUGUGUGCUGGAGAAUAAAUGCCCCAAGUUACAACAACAGCGGCUACUCAGCUCCAUCCAUGUGGGGACAUGGAUUCGGAGGGCCACAUCUUCUACUUUAUUUUAUUUAUUUACUUUCUUUUUAUAGCCACACCUGCAGCAUAUGGAAGUUUCCAGGCUAGGGAGUGAGUGGGAAUUAGAGCUGCCUACCUAUGCCACAGCCACAGCAACGCCAGAUCCAAGCCGCAUCUUCGACCCAUACCACAGCUCACAGCAAUGCCAGAUACUGAACACACUGAAUGAGGCGAAGGAUGGAACCUACAUCCUCAUGGAAAAUAUAUAUCAGGUUCUUAACCUUGAGCCACAGCGGGAACUCCCACAUCUUCCACUUUUUAAAGAGAGGACACAAACCUGGGCUUUCUUAUGGAAUUGCAUCAUUUUUACAUGUAAGCAAGGAAUAACAAUAAUUUUAAAACCAAAGAAUCAUUCUGCUGGGCAAAUUGAAAAUAUCCGUGAACCACUGUGACCUCUAUGAAAGGAAAGAAAUUUAAAAUCCCAUUUACAUGUUGCUUGACCACUGUUUGGUUUUGAAAAUGAUAUUCACCAAUUCAUUAAUGUCACUUAAGCCCAUAAGUAAGUGAUACAUCUCCGUAGCUAUAUAUAUGUCUGAACUUCAUGCACUUUCUGUUCCGCAGCAGAAAUCUAAUUUACUUGGUACUCCUAGUACUGAUGUAUGUCCCCAUAAGCUAUCAGGAAAGACCUGGUUUUUGGAUCUGCACAUUUUUCUUCCUGGACGUUGACUUUCCUCAUGUCCUCCUCUGGCCUACCGUAAUAACCUGGGCACAUACCUCUCGCUGCAUUUCCCAUAUUGUGCUAUCUUUAGCUCUAUACAUGUUUGUCACUUCAAGAAUUAUCUCCAGGAGUUCCCGUCGUGGCGCAGCAGAAACGAAUCCGACUAGGAACCAUGAGGUUGCAGGUUCGAUCCCUGCCCUCACUCAGUGGGUUAAGGAUCUGGCGUUGCCGUGAGCUGUGGGGUAGGUUGCAGACGUGGCUCAGAUCCCACGUUGCUGUGGCUCUGGUGUAGGCUGGCAGCUGUAGCUCCAAUUCGACCCCUAGCCUGCAAACCUCCAUAUGCCAUGAGUGUGGCCCUAAAGAGCAAAAAAAAAAAAAAAAA
ensembl:lncRNA